rnacentral:rRNA from 1 species
UACGAAGGGAGCUAGCGUUGUUCGGAAUCACUGGGCGUAAAGCGCACGUAGGCGGAUGUGUCAGUCAGGGGUGAAAUCCCGGAGCUCAACUUCGGAACUGCCUUUGAUACAGCACAUCUGGAGUCCGGAAGAGGUGGGUGGAAUUCCUAGUGUAGAGGUGAAAUUCGUAGAUAUUAGGGAAGAACACCGGUGGCGAAGGCG